CUUUACGACUGCCAUUUGCCUAUCGUUUGACUUUCGUUUAAGGUGGAAAAAUGCUGUUGCGUCUGCCGUUAGAAUGCAUGUGAGUCUCAAAAAAAUAUUUUUUUCGGUUUAGUUUGGUCAAACGCGUUUCUCGUAUUACAUAAUCGCUCUUUGUUGUGACUUAUCGUUUACUUGCCGUUCAUUUCGUAUUACGUAAUAGACACCCAGGGCAUUUAUUUAAGCAUGUAUUUAAAUUUGGAUAUAUGAAAACGCUUUCUGAUUUGCGUCAUCUCUCAAAAUUUUGAAGUUUAGAUUUCGAUUUGUGUUCUUAUAAAUGUUUUUCGAACAUUUUUUAUAGAUAUGAACAAUAAAGGAAAACUAUAUUCAGUCAAGACUCAAUUUUUCUUUAUUAUAAUAUGCUUAAAUUUUGGCGAAGAACGAUAAACCAAUUUAACGGAAAAUUUCAAUUUCUUCCCGGGCGAACAAAAAUAUUUAAUGACAAUGGGGCUGAAUAUAAUCAUUUCGUCCCUCUUCUGACGAAGAAAGAGACGUUACUCGCAAAUUGUCGUUUUUGAUUAUUUUAAAUUAACUUGAUUGCAUAUUUCUACAUCAAUAGAUUUCCUGAAAAGUUACCAGAA